UGCUAUCCAGGUUCCCGUGCCAUGUUUUCCUGGGCAUUUUUGCCUUCCAGGCACUGAAUCGGGCAUGGAGCACCCUUGUCCCAAGGGAACAUAUAGACCGAAAGCUGGCGCUGCUAAGGAAUCUGACUGUGAACCUUGUCCUGCAGGUAAGUGCAGACCCAAGUCAAGGAAUAUCUGGCUAAUACAAAAAAGAGGGUGAUAGAACAAAAAAGAAUGAGGUUUCCACUCAUUUCAGGAAAUGCUGCUCACCCACAGCAACUGCUUUCUUUCCUCUUCAUUUCAGGGAUGUAUUGCUCAUCCCUUGGACUGUCCCAACCUACCGGUCUUUGCCAUCAAGGCUACUUCUGCACCAAGGGAGCAGCCAACCCGACUCCCAUUAGACACCGGGUGAAUGCUUCCAUCGUCCUCUUGAUGGGAAAUGACAUUUGCCCUUCUGGGCAUUUCUGCCCAAAUGGAACCGGCUUCCCUGUUCCUUGCCCACCAGGCUCCUUCUCCCCAUCUUUGGGCCUGAAGGCAGAGCCAGAGUGUCUCCCGUGUCCAGCAGGACUCUACUGCCGCCAAUCAGGGAUGUCCGAUCUUUCCCAGAUGGCACCAUGCAAUGAAGGGUGAGUGGCAGAAGCAAGGGCUGCUUUUCAAACUGAAAA
rnacentral:lncRNA from 11 species